rnacentral:pre_miRNA from 1 species
AGAGGGGUAGCUGGGUCAAAUGGUAGUUCCAUUCCAAGUUUUCUAAGGAAUCUCCAUAGUACUUUUCAGAUUGGUUGCACCAAUUUGCAAUCCCACCAGCAAU